UGGUGAGUGUUCAUUCAGAAGCGUCCA
rnacentral:piRNA from 1 species